CCGGGCGGGCUAUAAAAUGGGCGCGCCAAGAGCCUGGAUAACGCAGUUCGCCGCUUCGUCAGGUGUGACCCCGCCACCGUCGGCGUCUUCCUCCUCCUCCUCCUGCCGUUUUCGUCGUCUUCGUCCCUCCGUAGGCCGGUGGAGAACCGAUGGCGUCCAACUACGUGGACACGACGGGCGAGGAGGGCCGGUUCCACGGCCCGCACCACCACCACCACAGCGCCGGCACCACCCCGACGGGCGCCGCGGCGGCGUCGUCGUCGCCGCGCGCCAUGCGCCGGAGCUUCUCGUCCGCGUCCUCCGGCGGCGGCCACAGCCACGGCGGCGGGGCCAAGUGCGUGUGCGCGCCCCCGACGCACGCGGGGUCCUUCAAGUGCCGCCUCCACCGCACCAACUCCCAGGGCCACGGCCACCCGCACCCGUCCCCGCCCACCUCCCCCGCCGCCGCCGCCGCCGCCGCGCCGGCGCAGGACGUCCCGACGUCCUCCGCCUCCUCCCGCACCGUCGAGGCCCAGUGAGUCAUCGCGGACCAAGGAACCCAAGAAAAUGGGCGAGGAGCAGAGGAGGACAGAGAGAGAAGAACAAGAACAUGAUCGAGCGUCAGAAGAAGGGAGCCUAUUAGUAUUCCCCUUGCUGUGAUCCGUGUUACCGAAAGAUUUUUGCUUUCGCCUUUCACCUUUUCUCCUGUCAUUUCUCAUUUCUGUGUGGGAUCCCUCGGUUUCUGCCGCUUGAUUCCCCGCCUGCAUCCCUUCUUCAGAUGAUGAUGCUCCAGUCCAGCUCCUCCUUGCCCUUGCUUCAGCCCCUUCUUCUACCUCCUGGAUCGCCAGCCGAGAGACGGUGAAAACGGAGGCCUAUAUUCCAGCCAGAGUGUGAUGGGCAUGGCUUGUGCUUCCGCCGGGCAGCAUGGUGGUGUGCUCUGAUUGAUGCUCAUUAAUGCAGCGGUUGGAUUUUUGCUGAACAGUCCAGCCAGAAGCAGCUGCAUCUCUUGGCCGCUUUCCUUUCAGAAACGCUUCAGUUACCAGUUUCCUUUCGGGUAGAGUUGGUGCCAAUCUUGAUCUUGCGUAGAUUCACAUUCUAGAGUGUGAUGAGCUAAGGCCGUGUUUAGUUGUGUUUAGUUCGUGAGGCCUGUAAAGGUAAAAAAAAUUGCGUCGGAAUCUUUCCAAUUUGAAGUAGUAAAUGAAGUCUACUUACAAAACUUUUU